CGGGCUUUUGCCAGCCAACCCCAUCGUUCGGGACGAUGGGGUCGCAGGUUCAAAUCCUGCCACUCCGACCA
rnacentral:tRNA from 1 species